AACGUAGGAGACAAACGUUAUCCGGAGUUACUGGGCGUAAAGGGCGCGUAGGCGGCCACCGCAAGUCGACUGUGAAAUCUCCGGGCUUAACCCGGAAAGGUCAACUGAUACUGCAGGGCUAGAGUGCAGAAGGGGCAACUGGAAUUCUCGGUGUAGCGGUGAAAUGCGUAGAUAUCGAGAGGAACACCUGCGGCGAAGGCGGGUUGCUGGGCUGACACUGACGCUGAUGUGCGAAAGCUAGGGGAGCGAACGGG
rnacentral:rRNA from 1 species